ensembl:lncRNA
CUUGGGGUCCCAGCUGCCUCAUCUGGAGAAUGACACCAGUGUCACUCAGGCUGCAGCCAGCAAACAUCUCCCUGCCCUUCCUCACCUUAGCCCCAGCAUUUCCCAUCCUCCCAGAUGCCUUAGGCCUGUCACUCCUCUCAGCCCUAACCGAAGUGGCCUAACUCAGUCCUGCCCUGUCUGUCUCUCCACGCAGCACCAGUGUGACCUCCUGGAACCCACUUCAAUCCCAUCGUUCCCCUGGGUAAAACCCCAGGACAUCAGAGCCAGGUGGACUUCAACUAUCCAUCCUCACCACCUAUAACAAGGGAACUGGUGAUUUCUAUCUGGACAUUCAGCCAUGAAACGAGACCUUCCCAGACUCCCCACAGCCCUUUGCCUUGGUAAACUCUGAAGAGCACACCCAUACCCAUCGCUAGAGAGACUUAAAUUAAAAAUAGAUCUCAAGUUUUGAUGGGAGUGUGGAGCAACUGGAACUCUCAGACGCCGGAGGAAUGAGGAACAGGGUGCGAGUCCUGGAUGUACACAUUUACCUGAAGUAAUCAGAACAUGUGAUUAAAGUCUGUGCAUUUUAAUGAAAGUGAUGUCAAUAAAAACAAGAAAAAUGACACACAGAGAGUAUACAAGAAAACUAUUGUUUCUAUAAAGAAAGAAGGAAGCCGAGGAUUUAACCCAGCGGUUUAGCGCCUGCUGUGCAAGUGCAAGGACCUGAGUUCAAUCCCCGGUACAAAAAAAAAAGAAAAGAAAA